UACGGAGGAUGCGAGCGUUAUCCGGAUUUAUUGGGUUUAAAGGGUGCGCAGGCGGCACGGCAAGCCGGCGGUCAAAUCGCGGGGCUCAACCCCGCCCAGCCGUCGGAACUGCCGGGCUAGAGUGGGCGAGAAGUGCGCGGAAUGCGUGGUGUAGCGGUGAAAUGCAUAGAUAUCACGCAGAACUCCGAUUGCGAAGGCAGCAUACCGGCGCCCGACUGACGCUGAAGCACGAAAGCGUGGGUAUCGAACAGG
rnacentral:rRNA from 1 species